UACGUAGGGUGCAAGCGUUAAUCGGAAUUACUGGGCGUAAAGCGUGCGCAGGCGGUUCUAUAAGACAGAUGUGAAAUCCCCGGGCUCAACCUGGGAACUGCAUUUGUGACUGUAGAGCUGGAGUGCGGCAGAGGGGGAUGGAAUUCCGCGUGUAGCAGUGAAAUGCGUAGAUAUGCGGAGGAACACCGAUGGCGAAGGCAAUCCCCUGGGCCUGCACUGACGCUCCAUGCACGAAAGCGUGGGGAGCAACAGG
rnacentral:rRNA from 1 species